rnacentral:misc_RNA from 1 species
AACUGUAUAUGCCAGUAAAGAGUCUUUUAUAAAAUUUAUAUGCCAGUAGAAAAUGGAAGAAUUUCUUUUAUAAUUUUUUUUAUAGAAUUUCUAGUGCUAGAGAACCUACAUUGUUGAAUAUUGGAUUGAAGCUGAUUGCUUUGUGGAGACAUGAAUAGUGAGGAUUCACAUAGCCCAGCCUAAUUAGCUUGGGAUUUAGGUGGUGUUGUUUUGAUGUGGCUGCUUUUGAAUUGUGUUAGUUAAGUGUAGCAGAAAUGGAUGUUAAAUGUUUGAUUUAUAGAAGUUGGAAACGAUCACAUUCAACAAUCAGUAUAAAUAGUAUAUAUAUAGGAUAAAAGUUGUCGUUAUGGCAAU